UACGAAUCUUCACGGUAAUUAAGAACCCUUUUCUCCUUUCAGUGAAGUUUGAUCCAAGAAAAUAGAUGACAAUUUAAAGAAAUCAAGAAAAGAAAGAAAAUUUGGCGUCUCACUAUAUUUAUGUUUUGUGUACAUACAUGGAUCCAUUGUGCAAUUUUCUUCGUUCUUCUCCUCUUCUUCCUUCCUCUGACACUGGAAAAAUCUUUAACCAGGAAAAAGACAGUCUCUUAGAAAGGGCAAAAAAAAAGAAAAAGAAAGAAAAGAGAGAGAGCCAAAUGUAUGCUUCUCUCUCUGGACAUUUUUCCUAUUCAAGAUUCAUUGUAUUCACGCCAGCAAACAAGUAUGGUUACACAGCGUCGCAUGAUGUAAAACCUGGCCCUCUGUUCCUUAACUAAAGCAGCACACUUUCUUGCAAAAGAACACCUUUUCCGGGAUGAAUUUCUGACGAAAUUGUUCGAGGAAUGAUUUCUUGAUGAACUUUCCUUCUUCGAGAGCUUCCACUUUUCAUCAAAGUACAACUGCGGCGGAGCACCACCAGCUGGGGGAGGUACGGCCAUGACUCUCUCUACUUUAUGUUUUCAAGAACUUCAAAGGGUUUUCUUGAAAUAAUUGGCUCUACUUUUGACGAUAACAAGAAUACACCAAAGAGAUUUGGCAAAUUGAGGGAAAAAGUGGGUUUUCUGGGUGAUUUGUUGACUGGGGAUUAUGAGAUUUUAGUGAGCUACUGAGCUUUGAAGGAUUGAGCGAAGAUAACAAAGGUUGCUAUUUAUAAUAGAAGUUAAGGAAGAAAGUUGGGGAUUUUGGGUAUCACCUCACCUGGGCCUUGUUUUACCCAGGGACCC
rnacentral:lncRNA from 1 species